ACCCACACCAAGAGCAAGGCCGCGGAUCUGUCCAUCUGAGAUAAUGCCCUGCGCUCUCUGAGCUCGCCAGGCUGACGCAGGAGUCUCCGGAGCCGACACUCCCAACAUCAACAUCCUCCUCAUGAUCGUGCCCGGGCACCGGAGGCUCAGAGGCUACUCUUCCAAGGUCACAUAGAGCCACGAGGACCAGGCUCUCCUAAGAAUGCUCCUUGAGAGGAGAGCGAUUGCACAGCUGGAUGCCUCCCUUACUCCCGCCUACUUCAACACCUUAUCCCUUCCUCUCCAGCUGCUGUGAUUUCCAGCCCUAAAACUGGUCCCCGGUCAGCACACAGGAUGGGCAAGAGAAUUCCUCAGCUUCCAGGGAUAAUUUCUCGAGUGUCCGAGGCCUUGGUGAUUUAGCAAGGAUAGAGAUGAAGCUAUCUUCUAUGCUGAGAAAGGAACCGGUU
ensembl:antisense Gm14232 predicted gene 14232